CAAAUCUUUCUGAACAAGUCUCUCAUAUUUCAAACUUAUCGUUGGUAAAAAUAUUGAAUGAUAUUGGGCAGAGAACUGAUCCCUGUGGGACUCCACUAACAGCUCCAGGAACAGAAACAAAGGUCGGGAAAGAGAACUUUUAGAAACCUCACUACAGUGAAAAGGACUUCAGAACAUCUAAACCAAAAGUGCUCAUUUCCCUUCCAAAUGAUCAAAUUUGCCACCUCGGGAAGAGACUCUGCAACUUUAAAUACAAUUUCCUCUAAUCAAAUGAUUCAAGGUGGGAAUGUCCCUUGCCAGUAGUACUUACAGACUAGUAAAGGAAAUUUGCAUGCAAACUUUUAACUUGACAUUGGAGGUCACAUGAUACAGCACAGCAACGUCUACGUCUAGUUUUAAUU